GACGAACCGUGCGAACGUUGUUCGGAAUCACUGGGCAUAAAGGGCGCGUAGGCGGCUUAUCAAGUCAGGGGUGAAAUCCGGCAGCUCAACUGUCGAAGUGCCUUUGAUACUGAUGAGCUAGAGGGAGAUAGGGGUAUGCGGAACUUCCGGUGGAGCGGUGAAAUGCGUUGAUAUCGGAAGGAACGCCGGUGGCGAAAGCGGCGUACUGGAUCUCUUCUGACGCUGAGGCGCGAAAGCUAGGGGAGCAAACGGG
rnacentral:rRNA from 1 species